rnacentral:rRNA from 1 species
UACGAAGGGGGGCUAGCGUUGUUCGGAAUCACUGGGCGUAAAGGGCGCGUAGGCGGCCUGAUAAGUCGGGGGGUGAAAGCCUGUGGCUCAACCACAGAAUUGCCUUCGAUACUGUUAGGCUUGAGACCGGAAGAGGUAAGUGGAACUGCGAGUGUAGAGGUGAAAUUCGUAGAUAUUAGGAAGAACACCAGUGGCGAAGGCGGCUUACUGGUCCGGUACUGACGCUGAGGUGGCGAAAAGCGU